GAAAACCCAAGGUGAGCUGAGGCGCGGGGCUGAGCGGUCCUCGAGGGCGGGCGGGCCCGGCCGCCGUGUGAAGGCAGGAACUCCCAGACCCGCCCAGGUGAGGCUGGGGCGGAGGACGACAGGCUGAAGCUGCGUCAGGCUGUGUGCAGCUGAAGCAGGCGAGGCCUGGAGCAGGCGCCCCGGGCAGGUCGCUCCCUGCCCUGCAGUCCCGACCCGAAGGCCAGAGCCAGAGCAGCCUUGGGCGUGGGUGUGGGGCCGCCCUGGGGCGGAUCAGCCCCAGGCCGCGGAAUCCAGCCCUGCCAGGUCGGUCGCAGGUCGGCGCGGGCCCACACAAGGCCCACUUCCUCCCUCCCGCGUGAGUCACCCCAGCCCUGCUCGGUCUGAGUCACCCUCGCCCGCCAAGCGGUGACACCUGCAGCCCGGGCUCCAGCGGCUGUGGGAAAGCCGGGCCUGAGGCCGAGGCGGCAGCGGGGCACCUGGGGAGGCCCUUGAGGCCGUCUAAGGCCUUUGCACCCGCACUCCGGAGGCAGUCAGCCUGGGGUCCCCCGCCCCAUCCUCUAGACAGCCCCGGAAAGGAGAGGGCGAGAUGUGAAACUCAGGCGGACUGCCCUCCGCAGCCCCUGGGACCCUGACCGCCUCACCCCUGCCCGGCCGUGUCUCCCAGCACGGGGCAGCUCGCCGCCUGCAGCUCCCUGGGCUCCUGCAGCUCCCUGGGCUCCUGCAGCUCCCUGGGCUCGGAACACCUUUCCCUUCCCUGCCUGGGACCAGCGCUUUCCAAAAGCCCACGGAGUCACCUCCUGGAAGGCCCGCGGAUGCCCGGCCAGCAACUCUACAGGGAGACCCCCGCGCUCUCCUGAUGGCUCCACUGAUGACCUGGGCUGGAUAGCAGCCCUCGGCUGCAAGGUCUCGACCCAGCUACUUCCUGUAUCCCAGGACCCUGCAGACCCGAGAGCUCCCCACACCCCACACCAGGCACUGGCCACAGGCUCCCUGCUCCCACUCAGACGCCCUCCACCAACUCUUGCCCCGUCAGAUAAGAUAUGGGACAUUCAGUUACACAUGAAUAUGUCACAGAACCAACAGAUAAUGUUUUCUAGAGGCAGGCCCUGUUAUUAUCCCUGCAUCAUCAAUGAGGAAACUGAGGCAGAAAGAUGCAGUCACUUGCUCGAGGUCACAUGCCCACCGUGUCAACCAUCACAGCUGAUGUGCAACACAUGCAUCGAGGAGUGGCCGGCACCUCCGGGGUCACGGGUCAAGAUGGUCUAUGAAGAGACAGCCGUUGGCAGAAUGGGCCAGAGAAUCCGGAAACAGCACCGACUGGCCCUGCCUGGGGGAGUUCGGCGUCUCCAAACCCUGGGCCCAGUUCACUGCCACCGAGUGGCUGCACCCCUGGGGGCAGCUACACAGAACCCCUUCCGAGUAUGCCGAGCGAUGUACGUGAGAUUGUUCAUGGUGGCCCCUUCUCUUCUCCUUGCCUGAUGUACUGGGGCCCAUCUCAAUGUCACCCAUCGAUAGAGAACUAGUUCAGGUAACUGAGGCAAUUGCCAAGUGACAAACAGACCCCUCUGUCGUGUGCUUUGAAAAGGGGCGCAAAGGGUGGACAGAAUGAGAUGGUAAAAGACAUCAUCACGCUGCCCAGGAUGCCAUGCAAUUUAAAACAUGAAUUUUCUAUUUCUGGGAUUUCACAUUUAGUAUUUUCAGACCCCAUUUGACCCCGGGUAACUGAAACUAUGGACCACAAAACCACAGAUGGGGGGGCGCAGGGGACUCCUGUACAUUGUUUCAUGAAAGGUAAAGACGCAGCAGGACAGGACGCGGGGCGCACGCCUGCGAUCCAGCACUCGGGAGGCUGAGGCAGCAGGAGCACAAGUUCCAGCCCAACCCAGGCAACAGCAACUUAGUGAGACCCUGUCUUACAAUGAAAGGCGGGGAGGGGCUGGGGACGUGCCUCAGCGUGAAGGACAUGUGUUCAAUCCCCAACACUCUUUACAAAUUUUAAGAAAGCAAACUACUAGCAUUUGUGUACAAAACAGCUGCAGCGACUACGGGAGUACGUUUGCUUCUAGAUUCGUGAGAACCCUGGGUAACCAGAGACAUCAGGGUGCCGUGGACAGGGACUUGAUGGCCAGGGACCGGGUGGGAGGUUUUCUGUGUCCGGAGGUUUGUUCCAGGGCCUCUCCAUACCAAGUCCUUUAAUGAAAUGGCUGUGUAUUUGCCCAUACGCGCACGCAUCCUCCCAUGAGGCGGAGCAACUUUGAGUCAUUUCCAGAUGACUUACAGUGCCUCAGACAAGGCAAGUGCUAAGUACUUGUUACUCAGUAUUGACACAGGAAAGCGACUGGAUGUGCUCAGAACAGACGAAAAAAAUUCGUUCAGGAUUUUCAACCACAGAUGCAGAGCCCAGGAGUGGGACGGCAGCUGUACCACCCUGCAACGCCUUUGGGGUCUUGAAUCACAGCAGCGGACUCUUUUUCUUUUCUUUGAAAAUUUUGUUAUUCUAUGUACUGACCAUUUAAAACACAUUUAAUUUUUAAUUUUAGAACUUUGCAAAUAGCCAGGCACUGUGGCACUUGUCUGUAGUCCCAGCUAUGCAGGAGGCUGAGGCAGGAGGAUAGUGAGUCUGAGGAUAGCCUGGGUGAUUUAGCAAGACACUGUCUCAAAAAUAAAUAGCUGGGGGCAGGAGAUUUAGCUCAGUGGUUCUGACACCUGCCUGGAAAGUACAAGAUCCUGCCUUCAAUUCCCGUACCAAAAAUAAAUAAGCAAACAAAUAAAUAAAUACCUAGGCGUGGUGGUGCGCACCUGUAAUCCCAGCACUCGGGAGGCUGAGGCAGGAGGAUCACUUCUCGUGUGAGACCAGCCUGGGGUAUAUAGUGAGGCUACACUUAUGCUACAUACCAAGUUCAAGACCAGCCUGGACUACACAGCAAGACCCUAUCUCAAAAACUAAUAAGUAAAUAAGGGCUGGGGAUGUAGCUCAAUGCAGGUCCUGGGUUCAACCUCUAGUACUGCAAAAAAUUAAAAUUAAAAAAGAAAAGGC
rnacentral:lncRNA from 1 species